AGAGUUUGAUCCUGGCUCAGAAUCAACGCUGGCGGCGUGCCUAACACAUGCAAGUCGAACGAGAAAGGGGAGCAAUCCCUGAGUACAGUGGCGCACGGGUGAGUAACACGUGACUAACCUACCCUGGAGUGGGGGAUAACUGAGGGAAACCUUAGCUAAUACCGCAUAAUACCUACGGGUCAAAGGAGCAAUUCGCUUCAGGAGGGGGUCGCGGCCGAUUAGUUAGUUGGCGGGGUAAUGGCCCACCAAGACAAUGAUCGGUAUCCGGCCUGAGAGGGCGCACGGACACACUGGAACUGAAACACGGUCCAGACUCCUACGGGAGGCAGCAGUGGGGAAUUUUGCGCAAUGGGGGAAACCCUGACGCAGCAACGCCGCGUGGAGGAUGAAAUCCCUUGGGAUGUAAACUCCUUCGAUCGG
rnacentral:rRNA from 1 species